GUUUUUUUUUUUUUUUUGGGUAGAUUGCAGACCUCUACAUUCAGACUUAGCAGCUUAGUAUCUAAAACAUGCUAUAAUUUGGGUAGCAGUUAUCCUUAUUUGGAGGUUUCUUAUGUAAGAAUACCAAAGAUGCCUGAAUGUCAUAUUUCAAGGUGAACACCAACUAUUGUGGAUAUCCUUGUGAUCCAUAAUUUGGAUUUGGCAUCAUGAAGGCUUGUUGCCACUCGACUUGGUCAGGUGAGUCUGAAGUGGCCAUUCAUCAGUAUGAGAUGGAUGAGUAUAACCUAUGUUGGCUUCUCUUUUGCUAGUUUAUUUUUACUAAGAUUAGAUGGCCAUGUCAUUGCUCCCAUAUUUGUUACCAGAAAUAGCCAGAGGAGAAUUGCAGCUUCCACCCUGUCUGGAAGUUAUUUAUUAUUAUUUUUUUAAAAAAAUUCAUUUGUUUGCAAUAAAUGUGGAUUGUUUAAUGCAUUGACAGAUCAAUUCACAAACUCAAAUUUUAGAAUAAGCCGCAUAAUUUAGGUUUUAUCUAAGUGGCACAUCUACAAAAUUUGUGAACUGAAAAACCAAUUCACAUUAAUUUUGAUUCAUUCACCCAUUCAUAUACGAUUGCAGUUUGUUGUCGAACGCUUCUCAUAGUUUUCCCCCCUUUGAGUCUGAGGCUGGCUUUUAUUUAUUUGUUUCUAAUUUUUGGGCACUGUUGCAUUUUGUUUCUGUCCCAUUAAGUUCUGCUACACUUUUUGUUUAUUUAUUCAUUAGGGGAUACCUCAUUUUUGUAAUUGUAUUUGAUGGUUUCUUCUCUUGUUCCUCAUUUUUGUAAUUGUAUUUAAUGGUUUCUUCUCUUGUUUCAAUAUUUUCUUUUAUCGGUGAAGGAAAAUGCCUUGGAUUCUUUUGGGCAUAGUUAUUAAAGGCUCAAUAGCGCACUAAUUUAUUUGUUAGGGGAGACCUCAUUUUUGUAAUUGUAUUUAAUGGUUUCUUCUCUUGUUUCAAUAUUUUCUUUUAUCGGUGAAGGAAAAUGCCUUGGAUUCUUUUGGGCAUAGUUAUUAAAGGCUCAAUAGCGCACUAAUUUAUUUGUUAGGGGAGA
rnacentral:misc_RNA from 1 species